UGGGUGAUGGUGGUAACAUACAAUCCGUGGGCCUGGUGCCCGUAUAUAUAUAUAUAUUGCCAAUAUUCGUCUAAACUAACGUAAAAGUGGGCAAUGUUCCCUCUGCUCCGUUGCUCAGAGAGAGGGCUGCCGGAGCUCGAGGCCGGCCGGUGGCGGCGGCAUCGGCUGCCCGUCGUUCUGGGCAAAGAAACGUACAGGUAGGAGGGGGAAGGAAGGAGCAAGACGAAUUUCAGUUGGUGGCCUUCGUUGGUGGCUUC
rnacentral:lncRNA from 1 species